rnacentral:tRNA from 1 species
ACUACCUUAGCUCAGUUGGUAGAUCGUGGGAGUACAAUUCCGGAGGCCGUGGGUUCAAAGCCCGCCGGCAGUC